UCCGGUUUGUCACCGGCAGUCUCCUUAGAGUUCCCGCCAUUACGCGCUGGCAACUAAGGACGAGGGUUGCGCUCGUUGCGGGACUUAACCCAACAUCUCACGACACGAGCUGAUGACAGCCAUGCACCACCUGUACACGGCCCCAAAAGGACCCCGCAUCUCUACGGGUACACCAUGUAUGUCAAACCCAGGUAAGGUUCUUCGCGUUGCAUCGAAUUAAUCCGCAUGCUCCGCCGCUUGUGCGGGCCCCCGUCAAUUUCUUUGAGUUUUAACCUUGCGGCCGUACUCCCCAGGCGGAUGACUUAACGCGUUAGCUGCGCCACCGAAACGCUAAGCGCCCCGACAGCUAGUCAUCAUCGUUUACGGCGUGGACUAC
rnacentral:misc_RNA from 1 species